rnacentral:rRNA from 1 species
CAUAACCUUUAGCUAAACCAGUAUUAAAGGCAACGCCUGCCCAGUGAAUAAUUAAACGGCCGCGGUACCCUAACCGUGCAAAGGUAGCGUAAUCAUUUGUCUAUUAAUUGUAGACCCGUAUGAAAGGCAUAAUGAGGGUUUAACUGUCUCUUUUAGUAUAUCAAUUAAACUGAUCUCCUAGUCCAAAAGCUAGGAUACCAACAUAAGACCAGAAGACCCUGUGAAACUUUAACUAAAAUAUUAAAGCCUAUAAUAACUACUUUAGGUUGGGGCGACCUUGGAAAAUAAAAGAACUUCCACACACAUAUUACAUAAUAAUAUAUAACCGGCCAACAAGCCUAUAACGACCCAGCACAGCUGAUAAUUGAACCAAGCUACUCCAGGGAUAACAGCGCUAUCUUCUUCAAGAGCCCAUAUCAAAAAGAAGGUUUACGACCUCGAUGUUGGAUCAGGACAUCCUAAUGGUGCAACCGCUAUUAAGGGUUCGUUUGUUCAACGAUUAAUAGUCCUACGUGA